rnacentral:rRNA from 1 species
CACGGAUAACAUACCGAAAGGUAUGCUAAUACGGGAUAAUAUAUUUGAGAGGCAUCUCUUAAAUAUCAAAGGUGAGCCAGUACAGGAUGGACCCGCGUCUGAUUAGCUAGUUGGUAAGGUAACGGCUUACCAAGGCGACGAUCAGUAGCCGACCUGAGAGGGUGAUCGGCCACAUUGGAACUGAGACACGGUCCAAACUCCUACGGGAGGCAGCAGUGGGGAAUAUUGCACAAUGGGCGAAAGCCUGAUGCAGCAACGCCGCGUGAGUGAUGAAGGCCUUCGGGUCGUAAAACUCUGUCCUCAAGGAAGAUAAUGACGGUACUUGAGGAGGAAGCCCCGGCUAACUACGUGCCAGCAGCCGCGGUAAUACGUAGGGGGCUAGCGUUAUCCGGAUUUACUGGGCGUAAAGGGUGCGUAGGCGGUCUUUCAAGUCAGGAGUGAAAGGCUACGGCUCAACCGUAGUAAGCUCUUGAAACUGGGAGACUUGAGUGCAGGAGAGGAGAGUGGAAUUCCUAGUGUAGCGGUGAAAUGCGUAGAUAUUAGGAGGAACACCAGUUGCGAAGGCGGCUCUCUGGACUGUAACUGACGCUGAGGCACGAAAGCGUGGGGAGCAAACAGGAUUAGAUACCCUGGUAGUCCACGCUGUAAACGAUGAAUAGUAGGUGUCGGGGGUUACCCCCUUCGGUGCCGCAGCUAACG